rnacentral:rRNA from 1 species
UUGUUCAGAUGAACGCUGGGGCAUGCCUUACCCAUGCAAGUCGAACGCAGCACGGGUGCUGCCCUGGGGGAGUGGGAACGGUGAGUAAUACAUCGGAACAUGUCCUGUAGUGGGGAUAGCCCGGCGAAAGCCGGAUUAAUACCGCAUACGAUCUACGGAUGAAAGCGGGGGACCUUCGGGCCUCGCGCUAUAGGGUUGGCCGAUGGCUGAUUAGCUAGUUGGUGGGGUAAAGGCCUACCAAGGCGACGAUCAGUAGCUGGUCUGAGAGGACGACCAGCCACACUGGGANUGAGACACGGCCCAGACUCNUACGGGAGGCAGCAGUGGGGAAUUUUGGACAAUGGGCGAAAGCNUGAUCCAGCAAUGCNGCGUGUGUGAAGAAGGCCUUCGGGUUGUAAAGCACUUUUGUCCGGAAAGAAAUCCUUGGCUCUAAUACAGCCGGGGGAUGACGGUACCGGAAGAAUAAGCACCGGCUAACUACGUGCCAGCAGCCGCGGUAAUACGUAGGGUGCAAGCGUUAAUCGGAAUUACUGGGCGUAAAGCGUGCGCAGGCGGUUUGCUAAGACCGAUGUGAAAUCCCCGGGCUCAACCUGGGAACUGCAUUGGUGACUGGCAGGCUAGAGUAUGGCAGAGGGGGGUAGAAUUCCACGUGUAGCAGUGAAAUGCGUAGAGAUGUGGAGGAAUACCGAUGGCGAAGGCAGCCCCCUGGGCCAAUACUGACGCUCAUGCACGAAAGCGUGGGGAGCAAACAGGAUUAGAUACCCUGGUAGUCCACGCCCUAAACGAUGUCAACUAGUUGUUGGGGAUUCAUUUCCUUAGUAACGUAGCUAACGCGUGAAGUUGACCGCCUGGGGAGUACGGUCGCAAGAUUAAAACUCAAAGGAAUUGACGGGGACCCGCACAAGCGGUGGAUGAUGUGGAUUAAUUCGAUGCAACGCGAAAAACCUUACCUACCCUUGACAUGGUCGGAAUCCUGAAGAGAUUCGGGAGUGCUCGAAAGAGAACCGGCGCA